rnacentral:rRNA from 1 species
GGACGAAAGUCUGACCGAGCAACGCCGCGUGAGUGAAGAAGGUUUUCGGAUCGUAAAGCUCUGUUGUAAGUCAAGAACGUGUGUGAGAGUGGAAAGUUCACACAGUGACGGUAGCUUACCAGAAAGGGACGGCUAACUACGUGCCAGCAGCCGCGGUAAUACGUAGGUCCCGAGCGUUGUCCGGAUUUAUUGGGCGUAAAGGGAGCGCAGGCGGUCAGGAAAGUCUGGAGUAAAAGGCUAUGGCUCAACCAUAGUGUGCUCUGGAAACUGUCUGACUUGAGUGCAGAAGGGGAGAGUGGAAUUCCAUGUGUAGCGGUGAAAUGCGUAGAUAUAUGGAGGAACACCAGUGGCGAAAGCGGCUCUCUGGUCUGUCACUGACGCUGAGGCUCGAAAGCGUGGGUAGCGAACAGGAUUAGAUACCCUGGUAGUCCACGCCGUAAACGAUGAGUGCUAGGUGUUAGGCCCUUUCCGGGGCUUAGUGCCGGAGCUAACGCAAUAAGCACUCCGCCUGGGGAGUACGACCGCAAGGUUGAAACUCAAAGGAAUUGACGGGGGCCCGCACAAGCGGUGGAGCAUGUGGUUUAAUUCGAAGCAACGCGAAGAACCUUACCAGGUCUUGACAUCCCGAUGCUAUUCUUAGAGAUAGGAAGUUACUUCGGUACAUCGGAGACAGGUGGUGCAUGG